UUUUGGGGCGGUGUUCACCGACUCUUCUUCUCUGCCUCCGCCCUGCUUAGCCAGGGCUUUGAGCCUCUUAGGUUUUCCAGCCAGACCCGGAAAAACGAAAACACAGCUUGGGGAGCCCCCACUAGCCGGCGCCUGUGCCAGCUCACCUCUGGCCAUGGCGCAGCUGCCGGUGCACACGGCGGCCAAGGCCAGCUCCACAUUCUUCCCUCCCCUCCCACUUCACCGGAGCCCCGAACCCUGCGCGCAGAGAAAGGGUCUCAGCUCCACAGACGACUGGGUCCCUCCUCACCAAAAAUGGUGAGACAAGAUUUCAUCUGUCGGCCGAGGAGCCACAAGCAG
rnacentral:lncRNA from 1 species